rnacentral:misc_RNA from 1 species
UGGUUCUGGCGUCGAUGAAGAACGCAGCGAAAUGCGAUACGUAAUGCGAAUUGCAGAAUUCCGUGAGUCAUCGAAUCUUUGAACGCACAUUGCGCCCAUUAGUAUUCUAGCGGGCAUGCCUGUUCGAGCGUCAUUUCAAAUUUCAAGCAUUGCUUGGUGUUGAAGUCAGCAGUCUCUUGCGGCUUCUAAAGUCAUUGGCUGAUCUGCAAUGAUCUAGACUUAGUAAUUCUUCUAGUCUCUGAUUACUUGUACGAUUUUGCCUUAAACCUCUUUCCAGUUAUUCUGGAAGAAUUUCAACAGUUUGACCUCGGAUCAGGUAGGAAUACCCGCUGA